CCUACGGGUGGCAGCAGUGGGGAAUAUUGGACAAUGGGCGAAAGCCUGAUCCAGCCAUGCCGCGUGUGUGAAGAAGGCCUUCGGGUUGUAAAGCACUUUCAGUGGGGAAGAAAGCCUUGGGGCUAAUACCCUCGAGGAAGGACAUCACCCACAGAAGAAGCACCGGCUAACUCCGUGCCAGCAGCCGCGGUAAUACGGAGGGUGCGAGCGUUAAUCGGAAUUACUGGGCGUAAAGCGCGCGUAGGCGGUCUGAUAAGCCGGUUGUGAAAGCCCCGGGCUCAACCUGGGAACGGCAUCCGGAACUGUCAGGCUAGAGUGCAGGAGAGGAAGGUAGAAUUCCCGGUGUAGCGGUGAAAUGCGUAGAGAUCGGGAGGAAUACCAGUGGCGAAGGCGGUCUUCUGGACUGACACUGACGCUGAGGUGCGAAAGCGUGGGUAGCAAACAGGAUUAGAUACCCUGGUAGUC
rnacentral:rRNA from 1 species